UCACUGAGAACUUACUUUCCAGAUGGAGAACAAUCCACAGAAUCAAAACCAGCGGAAAUUUCAUGCUAAACGGUAAUGUGUUGACGAUCCUGAAGAUUCGAAUCCGUCCAGAUAUGGGGCCCUGGUAUAGAAUUGUGAUUUCUCGCAGUUAUGGUUAAUAAAUAAACUACCUAAGUUGUCUGUUUUGCAAAAGCUUUAUAAAACGUUCCUACUGCUUUUGUUGACCUUAUUUUAUACUGUUUCAUACUGCUCGUUUUUUUUAGAAGAAGAUUAAAUUUGCUUUGUCUUAUCUGUUUGGCGUUUUUCUAGUUCCAUUCCGCUUUGCUUUCUCCUUGUUAUGUUUUAUUUACUAGGAAGAGUAGUACCUGUUGUCCGAAGUCAGGGAGGGCCGACCGUAGAAGUUAAGGUGAAAGCGUGAGGAACUUCUUGCUAGUAACCCUUGAACGUAUGUCAAAAAAAGGUCUGAUUGUUUGACGGUGAGAAUAAAUUUAAGCACCGCUUACGCUGGUUUUAUCAGCGUCGGAGUUGGAUUCGUAAUCAGUAGUUCAGAGCAAGAAUGCCUGAGCAGGUCGAGGAAGAUCUCCUCGGCUGCAAAUCAGAGCAGAUUCCAGCUCAGGAUUUCGUCAACCUGAAGACAAGAAAUUGUCACAAAGAGCUGCAAUCUGCUUUCCUUUUAACCGGACGGGCCACGGACGUUUGUGAAAUCGCGAAAACUUUCUUUUCGGCAUGCAAAGCCUUACACGUUUCUUUGCGAAACGUUUUGACUUGUUUUUGUUGUGGGAUGAAACUCGGUUGAAACUCGAUGCCACACGUACUCGACACUGAGCCUUGCAAAGCAGUUUUGGAGGAGUCGUGCGGAUAAUGGUAUGGUAUUGUUUUAAUGGAGAAGUACACUCUUUCCAGACGAAUGAUGGACGGAGGAUCCCCAUUUUUGCUUCUAGAGGAACUGGAACUAGCUUCUACCGAACCGCUAUCUGAAUUCUGUCAGCUGGAGAUGCCUUCAAUCUGGAAGUCCCUCGUCUCAUCAUUUUCAUCAAACUUGUUCCCUUCACUGUUUCAACACCCACAACCAAAUUGGUAAGCUUCGCGAACUUGUUCACUGGCAGCCCUUCUCACGAACGAGUGAGGUGUGAGUACCUUUGUGGUGUGUUGAAGAACUAACUUCUUCUUUCUUUUCAUCAGAUUGAUGCCUACAAUCAACUAAAUUAUAGCAACGGGGCUCUCUCGCUGUUUGCUGAUCGUUGGUGUCUUCAGAAGUGUUUGGUAACGCUGCACGUGGAUGCGCCUUUCUAUGGUAAUACGAUUCAUGUCAAGCAUUGCCUUGAUCGUGAACUGAAAGGGCUUCGUAAAGGCCAGAUUUGAGGAUUUAACUGUUUUUGAUGAGGUGUCGCAUUUGUAUUGUUGAUCAACCCAUGGAUAAAAACAUUAAAAUAACUUGUAUUAUUAAAAACAUAUUUUAAUUUCAGCUCAGCUUUCAAGCUUAUAUACAGUUCAACUGUAGUAUACACAUAUACAAGCCCAGAAUUUUGAACGAAGCCAAUAUGAUUAUAUUCUCAAAGAAACUGGGGUAAGAGAAUCGCAUGCAUGCGUUGUAAUUUCCACGAACGGGUCUUAAUAAAAAAAAAAAAAAAAGGUUGCAGAAGUUUAACGUAAA